AGACAUUCUGUAACGAUACAGUGGCUGUAGAGAGCACUCCAUUGUCUUUAACUGGUGGACCAUUGGCCAAAUAUGACACAAAGACGGGAACCAACCAACCAAGAAAAAUAUUAAAGCAGAACUGACUACUAUGAGCACCAAAUAAUCAGUGUGUGUAUGUGAGCAAGAUUAGAAAAUCAGGUUCCAUGAUUUUAAACGCAGACACAGUGGACAUUUUGAGGAAAUCUGCUGGGAUUGUGAUUUCAAAACUCUUCUUUUUUUUUUAUAACAUUUGUACAAAAUCUGUGUAUCAUGUACAAUAAAAUUGGAAACAUU